rnacentral:lncRNA from 1 species
UUCAUUCCAUUCUGAGCUUUAUCAAUCGGACAUUUGAUAUAAUUCGACCCGUAUCUUGUCGGGGCAUGCCCUCAGAUUUCCCCUGGUGCGUUUUUUAUAGCCAUGGCGUCGCUGGAAUCUCCUUUUGCGCAAGAUCAACACAUAUCUGAGCCUCAGUUUCACUCAUCGUCGGGUCUCUUUUCCGGCGAAAUUCGAGUUGUAUGUUUCUUUGCUCAAAAGCCCUAAUUGCUCCAUUUUUUUUUAUGUUUUUGAGCCGAUGAUCUUUCGCAAACAAGCUCAAGGAUAGAGUCCAAAUAAUCGAUUUAGUUUGAACUGAUUGAUCUAUAGUGGAAAUGGACUUUAUUAUGGGCUUUUCAAGUGAGGCCCAAUUGAUUAGGGCAAACUAUAAGAAGCGGCGAUAACAACAAAAAUAGCAAAAUCUCAUUAGUUUAAGUAUGAGGCUGCGGUGAAAGCAGAGAGUUGUGGGGAGUUUCUAUGGGUAGUUUUGCUCCUCUUUGACUUUCUUCGCCGCCGAUGAUUACUCAAAUGAAAAAAAUCCGAUUGCAAAACUACCCUUUCGGUGAAAAUACGUUGUACUCCCUCCGUUCACUUUUACUUUUUGUGCAAUGAGGCUAUGAAGAUUAAUUUGUCUUCUGCGGAAGAUAGAAACAGACAUAUAUUUCUAUUGAGCUAGAAAAAACUGUAACUUGGCGUGGCAGCUCAGAUGGGUCUGUGAGAUAUUGGAGAAAAUUCCAUUUUUGUUUUUUUUUCCUGUCUCAUAAGGCUAACUGAUGCUUGCAGCCAUGGCAGUUUUUUCAAAGCUUUUUAGUUUUUGUCUGAGAAAAGGCGAAUCUGAGCUUACCCCAUUACUUUGAUUUUUGGUUUUGGUUUUCCCUCUUGAGUCUUGUCCUUGAUUACAUAGGCGAAAAUUUAAGCUCAUCCCUCAAUUUAACUGUUUGUUCCACUUCUGAGACUGAGACUGUAACUCAGAGAAGCUUUCUGGGAAUAAUUCUUAGGUGGAAGAUAUUGGUUUCAGUCUUAAACUGGUUUGAUUUUUCCAAAAUGUUAGUGGAAUAAUUUCUCCAAAAUUUAUAUCUGAAUUUUAGUAACUGAAUGAGAAACAACGAUGAUAUCAAAAAUCAUUGAUGGUCAAAGAUCAACUAAGAAUGCAAAACUACCACAGAUCUUCUAUGUGUUGUGAAUUAAUCUCUUGACUAGUACUUUUGGUAACUCUACCUUAACAACACUGUAUUUUUAUUUGAGCGGAUUGAAACCUCUGAGUCGAGUGUUAUCCGAUGUUUACGAAUAAUAUCAAUAUCCCUUGCUGUAAGGUGCUCUUGCAUUUUUGCAGACAAGAACUAGCAGGAAAUGGGGUUUUUUUUCGAAGCAUAGAGCUAGAUUCUGAUUUAUGUUGAUGAAAACUCCAGGAACUGCGUUUGUCUUUAAGUUCCAAAUUUCACUGAAAUCACUGUAGAUUCUAGCUACAACUCCAACAAAAUGGAGAGAGAGAGGAUUGGAACUCGGUAAUGUUUAAAUGUUUGUGAAAGUUAACAAAUUGUGUUUUAAUUAUUACUUUGUCAAAGAGAAU